UAAGCAGCUCAGUGGCCGGGCUUCAGGUUGAAGUUUCACAUCUAAAGAAACUGCUGAGUUGCCCUCACGGAUGGGUCAACUUCAAGCAAAGCUGUUAUCUGUUUCCUUCAAGCUCACAAACCUGGGAGGAGGCCCAGAAAUCUUGCAUGUCAGCGGACGCCCACCUUGUUGUCAUUAAUAAUGCUGAAGAACAGGACUUCUUAAAGAAAAAAGAUCGUGUCCGUCGCUGGAUUGGUCUCACUGACAAAGCCUCUGAAGGUGACUGGCGCUGGGUGGAUGGAACCGAUUAUAAAUCCUU